rnacentral:lncRNA from 1 species
AAUACCUCAGUAACGUGAGACAUUCGUUCAACAAGUAUGUAUUUAGUGCAUCAUUUGCGAGGCCCUGGGACAGAUACUGGGAUGAAGGCAUGGCUCCUGCCUUCAUGGAGCUGACAUUCCAUGAAGAUGGACGCGGCUUGAAGAGAAAACUUAGAAAGGCGAAGUGACACCCAAGAUCACGCAGUUAGCAAGGUAAGGUUGGAAAAC